rnacentral:rRNA from 1 species
AACGUAGGAGGCAAGCGUUAUCCGGAGUUACUGGGCGUAAAGCGCGCGUAGGCGGCUCGGUAAGUGGGUCGUGAAAGCGCCCGGCUAAACUGGGCGAGGACGAUCGAGACUGCCAGGCUAGAGGGUGGUAGAGGGACAUGGAAUUCCGGGUGUAGCGGUGAAAUGUGUAGAGAUCCGGAGGAACACCAGUGGCGAAGGCGGCAUUCUGGACCGAUAUUGACGCUGAGGAGCGAAAGCCAGGGGAGCAAACGGG